AUAAAUUAAUAUUAAUUUAUGUUGUGUAUAAAGUAAAUGCGCAGUUGAAUGAGGUUACAUAAGAUUAGGUAGUUGGUAAAGUUAAAAGCUUACCAAGCCGAUUAUCUUUAGUUGAUCUGGGAGGAUGAUCAACCACAAUGGGAAUGAAAACGGCCCGAACUGAAUAGUCUGCAGUGAGGAAUUUUGGACAAUGAGUUUUGCUUGAUCCAGCAAUGUUGCGUGAAUGAUGAAGGUGAAGUCUGUAAAGUUCUUUCGUUGGAAAUAAUAAUGAUGUUAUCCAAAAAAGAAGUCCCGGCAAACUUCGUGCCAGCAGCCGCGGUAAAACGGGGGGGACAAGUGUUAUUCAUCCUUACUGGGCGUAAAGGGCAUGUAGGUGGUUUAUUUUGUUUUCAAUAAAAUACUUCAGCUUAACUGAAGUAAUGUUGUUUUUACGGAUAAACUUGAGUUUUUUUUGGUAAAAUAGUACGUAUAAUGUAAAGGUGAAAUUUGUAGAAAUUAUAAGGACUACCAUUCAGCGAUGGCAAUUUUAUUAUUAUGAACUGACACUAAGGUGCAAAAGCUUAGGUAGCAAAUGAGAUUAGAUACCUCAGUAGUCUAAGCAGUGACCGAUGAGUAUUAAACGCAUAUUUAUAGUAUAAAACCUAUAUCAGGGUUUUUUGUUAAAUUAGUGUUUAAGUUAACACGUAAAUACUCCGCCUGGGAAUUACAAUCGCAAGGUUUAAACCUAAAGGAAUUGACGGAGAAUUAUCACAGCGGUGGAGCAUGUGGUUUAAUCUGAUAUACCGCAUAGAACCUUACCAAUCCUUGACUUGUAUUUUUAUAAUUCCAUGUGGGGUUAUGUAUAUUGAUCUUGUGUGAUAAAUAUACUGAAAUGAAAUACAUGCAGGUGUUGCAUGGCCGUCACCAGCUCGUGUCAUGAGACGGUCGAUUAACUUCCUUAAAACGAGCGUAACCCCUUUCCUGAAUUUAAGUUUUGUUUAGGAUACUGCCUAUGAGAUAUAGGAGGAAGGUUGGGAGGAUGUCUGGUCGUCAUGACCUAGAUGGAUUGGGCUACACACGUGCUACAAUGGUAAUUACAAAGAGAUGUGAAAAUGUGAGUUUUAACAAAUCUGUAUAAAAAUUAUCUUAGUCCGGAUCGUUUUCUGUAAUACGAAAACGUGAAGUUGGAAUCGCUAGUAAUCGUAUAUUAGUAUGGUACGGUGAAUAUUUACAAAUUCUAGUACACACCGCCCGUCACGCGGGGGAAAUUGGGGUUAGUAGACAUAUGUUGGGGUUUUUUUACUGUUUUUAUAGAUUCGUUUGUUAUUUAUGAAUGAUCAUUGAUUUGGUAUUAAUAUACUGCAUAUAACAUUAAUCUUGAGGACCGCUG
rnacentral:rRNA from 1 species